rnacentral:rRNA from 1 species
AUGAACGCUGGCGGCGUGCCUAAUACAUGCAAGUCGGACGGAGAUUUAGUGAUAGAUCUUAGUGGCGAACGGGUGAGUAACGCGUUGGUGACCUGCCCCGAAGAGGGGGAUAACAGCUCGAAAGGGCUGCUAAAACCCCAUGGUAUCUGAUUGGUCAGAGGCGAUCAGAUGAAAGGAGAGCCCGAAAGGGAGCUCUGCUUCGGGAGGGGCCUGCGUCCCAUCAGCUAGUUGGUAGGGUAAAGGCCUACCAAGGCGAAGACGGGUAGGGGGCCUGAGAGGGUGACCCCCCACACUGGCACUGAAACACGGGCCAGACACCUACGGGUGGCAGCAGUAGGGAAUAUUGCACAAUGGGCGAAAGCCUGAUGCAGCAACGCCGCGUGCGCGAAGAAGGCCUUCGGGUUGUAAAGCGCUUUUCGGGGAGAUGAGGAAGGACAGUAUCCCCGGAAUAAGGCUCGGCUAACUACGUGCCAGCAGCCGCGGUAACACGUAGGAGCCAAGCGUUAUCCGAAUUCACUGGGCGUAAAGCGCGUGUAGGCGGCUCGGUAAGUUGGAUGUGAAAUCUCCUGGCUCAACUGGGAGAGGCCGUUCAAUACUGUCGGGCUAGAGGACGGCAGAGGGAGGUGGAAUUCCCGGUGUAGUGGUGAAAUGCGUAGAUAUCGGGAGGAACACCAGUGGCGAAGGCGGCCUUCUGGGCCGUACCUGACGCUCAGACGCGAAAGCUAGGGGAGCGAACGGGAUUAGAAACCCCGGUAGUCCUAGCCGUAAACGAUGUAGACUUGGUGUAGGUGGUGUAAAAGCCAUCUGUGCCGAAGCCAACGCGAUAAGUCUACCGCCUGGGGACUACGGCCGCAAGGUUAAAACUCAAAGGAAUUGACGG